CCACAGGCGCUUGCUGUGGUUAAAAACUCACUUAGUACAGAGAAGAUUGGCAUGGCUCCUACAUGAGGAUGACACAUAGAUUCCUGAAGUGCUCCCUGGUUUU